GCUGCCAGCACAACUAUAAGUACAAACCUCUGCUUCUAUACCAGUGGAUAUACUGGUUCUUGGAAUGACCGCUCGGGUCGCCUGCCAACCAAGGUGUUGAAGAUUUCACUUAUUGAUCUACCUACCUGAUUCAUCGUAGCCCACCUACAAGCAACUACCCCUUAUCUUCGCAGUGGUAAGGAACCUGC